rnacentral:lncRNA from 1 species
AUGCCCAGCCCCGUCCAAAGAAAGUAUCUUGCAGAUUCCCUUUUCUCAUCUGAGGGCCUCUCAGCCAGGAAGUUCGGCAAAAUGAGAGGGCUCGCGGCCUCCGCCACUUUCGGCGCUUACGUGAAAAGAUGGCCAAACAGCCGCGCCUCUGCCACCAUGCUGCCGCGGCGCCGGGUAUGGGCCGAGCAAGCGAGCGAGCGGCCGCGGCGGUCUCGGGCUCUCGCGAGACGGGGCAGGGCGAGAGGGCCUCGCCCAGGAACCGUGGGGCCGGGCGGAGGCGCAGGGAGCCACGCAGCGCCGCGGCAGCCAUUUGCCAUGUGGCGGCACCGGAGGGCGCGGCGGGGGGGCGGCCGCUCGGGGCUCUGCCCGCAGCAGUGCCGGGGCUGCUGCGGGCGCGGCGGCUGGUGGCCAAGGAGGGCCAGGGUGGCGGGGCGCAGCAGGCAGGGCCGCCGCGGGUGCUGCUCGGGGACGGUGUGGCCACAGUGUCUGCAGGCCGCUGGGCACCGGCUGCUGAUGAUGUUCGGGGCCCAGCGGCGGCCUGGGCCCUGGGGCUGCGGGGGAGGCUGGCGCUGCCUGGCCCCGGGGCUGCUCCUGCGGGAGACGAGCCCGGCUGCGGCCCUGGGUUGCAGGGAGGCACUCUGUGAGGGAGAAGGAAGGGGAGAGCAGCAGGGUCCUCGUGGAAAGUCUGCAGGGGAGAGGCAGAGCUGCGCAAGGCGAGGAAGGAGGGACGAGCUGGAGGCCAUGGGCACGCUGGCGGUGGAAGGUGGCCAUCAGGGUGGGGAAGGCUGGAAACUUGUGACCUCUGUUAACUGGAGAAAGGUUCUUGAUCUGCCUUCAGACCUUCUGGCUGGAGUAGGUGUAGUGCCCUGGGCACUGGUGAGAGCAAACAAGAUCCAUUCUGGGCAGGAACUGUUCUCAAAUGUGCAUAGCAUGAGGAAGAAGCAGGAGGAAUUAGAUAUCCUUGCGUGGCUGCUGAGCUAUGACCUCAUUGGGAUUAUGGAAACAUGGUGGGAAAGCUUUCCUGACUGGAAUGCUGCAAUGGAUAUUAAGGGUGGGAAAGUGAGAAGGAGAGGUAGCCCUUUAUGUAAAACAGUGGCUCAAAUGCAUGGAGCUUUGCCUUGGGGCAGGUGA